AACGAACGCUGGCGGCAUGCCUAACACAUGCAAGUCGAACGAAGCCUUCGGGCUUAGUCGCGCACGGGGGCGUAACGCGUGGGAAUCUGCCCCUUGCUUCGGAAUAACAGUUAGAAAUGACUGCUAAUACCGGAUGAAGUCUUCGGACCAAAGAUUUAUCGGCAAGGGAUGAGCCCGCGUAGGAUUCGGUAGUUGGUGGGGUAAAGGCCUAUCAAGCCGACGAUCCUUAGCUGGUUUGAGAGGAUGAUCAGCGACACUUGGACUGAGACACGGCCCAGAAUCCUACGGGAGGGAGCAGAGGGGGAUAGAGGACAACGGAGGCAAGGAUGAUCCAGCAAGGACGGGUGAGUGAUGAUGGCCUUAGGGUUGUAAUGUGCUAUUAACAGGGAUCAUCAUGACAGUACCUGGAGAAUAAGCCCCGGCUAACUACGUG
rnacentral:rRNA from 1 species